rnacentral:rRNA from 1 species
AUUUUGGUUAAUGGGGGCAACCCUGAUCCAGCCAUCCCGCGUGUGCGAUGAAGGACUUCGUGUUGUAAAGCACUCUUGGCAGGGAAGAAAAGGCGCCGGAUAAUACCUGGCGCAGCUGACGGUACCUGCAGAAUAAGCACCGGCUAACCACGUGCCAGCACCCGCGGUAAUACGUAGGGUGCAAGCGUUAAGCGGAGUUACUGGGCGUAAAGCGUGCGCAGGCGGUUCGGAAAGAAAGAUGUGAAAUCCCAGGGCUUAACCUUGGAACUGCAUUUUUAACUGCCGGGCUAGAGUAUGUCAGAGGGGGGUAGAAUUCCACGUGUAGCAGUGAAAUGCGUAGAGAUGUGGAGGAAUACCGAUGGCGAAGGCAGCCCCCUGGGAUAAUACUGACGCUCAUGCACGAAAGCGUGGGGAGCAAACAG